rnacentral:rRNA from 1 species
UACGGAGGGAGCUAGCGUUGUUCGGAAUUACUGGGCGUAAAGCGCACGUAGGCGGCUUUGUAAGUUAGAGGUGAAAGCCCGGGGCUCAACCCCGGAAUUGCCUUUAAGACUGCAUCGCUUGAAUCCAGGAGAGGUGAGUGGAAUUCCGAGUGUAGAGGUGAAAUUCGUAGAUAUUCGGAAGAACACCAGUGGCGGAAGGCGGCUCACUGGACUGGUAUUGACGCUGAGGUGCGAAAGCGUGGGGAGCAAACAGGG